GAUGAACGCUGGCGGCGUGCCUAAUACAUGCAAGUCGAGCGGACUGAUUAGAAGCCUGCUUCUAUGACGUUAGCGGCGGACGGGUGAGUAACACGUGGGCAACCUGCCUGUAAGACUGGGAUAACUUCGGGAAACCGAAGCUAAUACCGGAUAGGAUCUUCUCCUUCAUGGGAGAUGAUUGAAAGAUGGUUUCGGCUAUC
rnacentral:rRNA from 1 species